rnacentral:rRNA from 1 species
GCUAACCCUAGCCCAACCACCCUCCCCACAUAACUAAGCCUUUCACCAAAAUAAAACAUUUACCACUCUUAAAGUAUAGGAGAUAGAAAUAUGACUCAGGAGCUAUAGAGAUAGUACCGUAAGGGAAAGAUGAAAGAUUGUUUUAUAGCAUAAAAAAGCAAAGACUAACCCUUGUACCUUUUGCAUAAUGAAUUAGCCAGAAACCAUUUGGCACAAAGAAUUUUAGUCAAAGACCCCGAAACUAGACGAUCUAUCCACGAGCAGUUUUUAGAACGAACCCGUCUAUGUGGCAAAAUAGUGGGACGACUUAUGGAUAGCGGUGAAAAGCCAAACGAGCCUAGUGAUAGCUGGUUGUCCAGACAAGAAUUUCAGUUCAACUUUAUGUUUACCAACAGAAGCAUAUAAUCUUAAUGUAAACAUAAAAUCUAGUCUAAGAGGGGACAGCCCCUUAGAGCCAGGAUACAGCCUGAGUUGGAGAGUAAAUAAAAACACCACCAUAGUUGGCCUAAAAGCAGCCACCAAUUAAGAAAGCGUUAAAGCUCAACACCAGACCAAAACUAAAUCCCACACAAACCUAUAAACUCCCAACAUACAGCACUGGACCAAUCUAUAGUCCUAUAGAUGUAACACUGCUAAUAUGAGUAACAAGAAAUUAAUUCUCCUUGCACAAGCUUAUAUCAGAUCGUAUAAACACUGAUAGUUAACAGCCAUACGUAAACACCCCACAUUUAAAUACCUACGUAACCCACUACUGUCGACCCAACACCGGCGUGCAUAAAGGAAAGAUUAAAAGGAGUGGAAGGAACUCAGCAAACCUCAGCCCCGCCUGUUUACCAAAAACAUCACCUCUAGCAUCACAAGUAUUAGAGGCACUGCCUGCCCAGUGACGCAAGUUUAACGGCCGCGGUAUCCUGACCGUGCAAAGGUAGCAUAAUCAUUUGUUCCUUAAUUAGGGACUUGUAUGAACGGCAACACGAGGGCUCAACUGUCUCCCACCCCAAAUCAGUGAAAUUGACCUCCCCGUGAAGAGGCGGGGAUAAAAUAAUAAGACGAGAAGACCCUAUGGAGCUUUAAUUAACUAGCUUACACAAAUAAAUCAUUCCUCUACACGAGCCCAACAAAUUAUGUCCCUAAGCUAGAAAUUUUGGUUGGGGUGACCUCGGAGCACAAACCAACCUCCGAAUGGAUUUAAGCCACGACUAACCCGUCUAAGCAUUUACACCGUUAAUUGACCCAAUUCAUUGAUCAAUGGAACAAGUUACCCUAGGGAUAACAGCGCAAUCCUAUUCUAGAGUCCAUAUCGACAAUAGGGUUUACGACCUCGAUGUUGGAUCAGGACAUCCAAAUGGUGCAACCGCUAUUAAUGGUUCGUUUGUUCAACGAUUAAAGUCCUACGUGAUCUGAGUUCAGACCGGAGUAAUCCAGGUCGGUUUCUAUCUAUUUAUUCACUUCUCCCAGUACGAAAGGACAAGAGAAGUAGAGCCCACUGCACCUCAGCGCUCUAAGUCCAAUAGAUGAAAUCAUCUUAAUCUAGUAAACUAACUUCACCCUGCCCAAGACCAGGGUUU